GACGAACGCUGGCGGCGUGCUUAACACAUGCAAGUCGAACGGAAAGGCCUUUUCGGAGGUACUCGAGUGGCGAACGGGUGAGUAACACGUGGGUGAUCUGCCCUGCACUCUGGGAUAAGCCUGGGAAACUGGGUCUAAUACCGGAUAGGACCGCACUUUAGUGUGUGUGGUGGAAAGUUUUUUCGGUGUAGGAUGAGCCCGCGGCCUAUCAGCUUGUUGGUGGGGUAAUGGCCUACCAAGGCGGCGACGGGUAGCCGGACUGAGAGGUUGGUCGGCCACAUGGGAAGUGGAAACCGGCCAAGACCCGAGCGGGGGGAAGGGGGGGGGAAUAUGGCAAAAGGGGGGAAGGCCUGAGGCGGGGCGGCCGGGGGGGGGAUGAGGCCCUUGGGGUUGAAACCUCCUUCGGCAAGGAAGAAGGCGUUUUGUGACGGAACCGGGGAAAGAAGCCCCGGAUAACUAGGGG
rnacentral:rRNA from 1 species